GAUGAACGCUGGCGGCGUGCCUAAUACAUGCAAGUAGAACGCUGAAGGAAGGAGCUUGCUCUUUCCGGAUGAGUUGCGAACGGGUGAGUAACGCGUAGGUAACCUGCCUGGUAGCGGGGGAUAACUAUUGGAAACGAUAGCUAAUACCGCAUAACAGUAGAUGUUGCAUGACAACUAUUUGAAAGGGGCAAUUGCUCCACUACCAGAUGGACCUGCGUUGUAUUAGCUAGUUGGUGAGGUACCGGCUCACCAAGGCGACGAUACAUAGCCGACCUGAGAGGGUGAUCGGCCACACUGGGACUGAGACACGGCCCAGACUCCUACGGGAGGCAGCAGUAGGGAAUCUUCGGCAAUGGACGGAAGUCUGACCGAGCAACGCCGCGUGAGUGAAGAAGGGUGUCGGAUCGUAAAGCUCUGUUGUAAGAGAAGAACGAGUGUGAGAGUGGAAAGUUCACACUGUGACGGUAUCUUACCAGAAAGGGACGGCUAACUACGUG
rnacentral:rRNA from 1 species